UACAGAGGUCUCAAGCGUUGUUCGGAUUCAUUGGGCGUAAAGGGUGUGUAGGUGGCGCGCUAAGUCGGGUGUGAAAUUUCGGAGCUUAACUCCGAAACUGCAUUCGAUACUGGCGUGCUUGAGGACUGCAGAGGAGACUGGAAUUUACGGUGUAGCGGUGAAAUGCGUAGAUAUCGUAAGGAACACCAGUGGCGAAGGCGGGUCUCUGGACAGUUCCUGACGCUGAGGCACGAAGGCCAGGGGAGCAAACGGG
rnacentral:rRNA from 1 species